UACGGGGGGGGCAAGCGUUGUUCGGAAUUACUGGGCGUAAAGGGCGUGUAGGCGGCCAACUAAGUCCGACGUGAAAUCCCCAGGCUUAACCUGGGAACUGCGUCGGAUACUGGAUGGCUUGAAUCCGGGAGAGGGAUGCGGAAUUCCAGGUGUAGCGGUGAAAUGCGUAGAUAUCUGGAGGAACACCGGUGGCGAAGGCGGCAUCCUGGACCGGCAUUGACGCUAAAGCGCGAAAGCCAGGGGAGCGAACGGG
rnacentral:rRNA from 1 species